ACGAACGCUGGCGGCGUGCCUAACACAUGCAAGUCGAGCGGAGAACACCAGAUGUUUACAUUGAAGUGUUCUUAGCGGCGGACGGGUGAGUAACACGUGGGUAACCUGCCUCGAAGUGGGGGAUAGCCUUUCGAAAGGAAGAUUAAUACCGCAUAAGCUUGUAGCAUCGCAUGGUGCAGCAAGAAAAGGAGUAAUCCGCUUCGAGAUGGACCCGCGGCCUAUCAGCUUGUUGGUGAGGUAAUGGCUCACCAAGGCGUCGACGGGUAGCCGGCCUGAGAGGGUGACCGGCCACACUGGGACUGAGACACGGCCCAGACUCCUACGGGAGGCAGCAGUGGGGAAU
rnacentral:rRNA from 1 species